UGGGGUGCCUAACACAUGCAAGUCGAACGCGUGACUUCGGUCACGAGUGGCGCACGGGUGAGUAGCGCGUGGGAACCUGCCCUUUGGUUCGGAAUAACCUCGGGAAACUGUGGCUAAUACCGAAUGUGGCCCUACGGGGGAAAGAUUUAUCGCCAAAGGAGGGGCCCGCGUCCGAUUAGGUAGUUGGUGAGGUAACGGCUCACCAAGCCUGUGAUCGGUAGCUGGUCUGAGAGGAUGAUCAGCCACACUGGGACUGAGACACGGCCCAGACUCCUACGGGAGGCAGCAGUGGGGAAUAUUGGACAAUGGGGGCAACCCUGAUCCAGCAAUGCCGCGUGAGUGAUGAAGGCCUUCGGGUUGUAAAGCUCUUUCGCCCACGACGAUGGUGACGGUAGUGGGAGAAGAAGCCCCGGCUAACUUCGUGCCAGCAGCCGCGGUAAUACGAAGGGGGCUAGCGUUGUUCGGAGUUACUGGGCGUAAAGGGCGCGUAGGCGGCUGUCCAAGUCGGGUGUGAAAGCCCAGGGCUCAACCCUGGAUGUGCACUCGAGACUGGCUGGCUAGAGGACGGGAGAGGAUGGUGGAAUUCCCAGUGUAGAGGUGAAAUUCGUAGAUUUGGGAAGAACACCGGUGGCGAAGGCGGCGACCUGGUCCAUAACUGACGCUGAGGCGCGAAAGCGUGGGGGAAGCAAACCAGGAUUUAGAUACCCUGGUAGUCCACGGCUGUAAACGAUGUUGUGCUUGGAUGUUGGGCCCGCCUUAACGGCUCCAGUGUCGUUAACUAACGCGAAAAGCAACACCCGGCCUUGGGGGGAGUUACCGGGGCCGCAAGGGUUGGAAACUUCCAAAGGGAAUUUGGACGGGGGGCCCCCGCAACAAGCCGGUGGGAAGCAUUGUGGGUUUAAAUUUCGAAGCAAAGGGGCAAAACUUUACCCGGGCUUGG
rnacentral:rRNA from 1 species